rnacentral:rRNA from 1 species
AGUGAACGCUGGCGGUAGGCCUAACACAUGCAAGUCGAACGGCAGCACAGUAAGAGCUUGCUCUUACGGGUGGCGAGUGGCGGACGGGUGAGGAAUACAUCGGAAUCUACUUUUUCGUGGGGGAUAACGUAGGGAAACUUACGCUAAUACCGCAUACGACCUACGGGUGAAAGCAGGGGAUCUUCGGACCUUGCGCGAUUGAAUGAGCCGAUGUCGGAUUAGCUAGUUGGCGGGGUAAAGGCCCACCAAGGCGACGAUCCGUAGCUGGUCUGAGAGGAUGAUCAGCAAAACUGGAACUGAGAAACGGUCCAGACCCCUACGGGAGGCAGCAGUGGGGAAUAUUGGACAAUGGGGGCAAGCCUGAUCCAGCCAUACCGCGUGGGUGAAGAAGGCCUUCGGGUUGUAAAGCCCUUUUGUUGGGAAAGAAAAGCAGCAGGUUAAUACCCCGCUGUUCUGACGGUACCCAAAGAAUAAGCACCGGCUAACUUCGUG